rnacentral:rRNA from 1 species
UACGGGGGGGAGCAAGCGUUGUUCGGAUUUACUGGGCGUAAAGGGCUCGUAGGCGGCCAACUAAGUCGGAUGUGAAAUCCCCAGGCUUAACCUGGGAACUGCAUCCGAUACUGGAUGGCUUGAAUCCGGGAGAGGGAUGCAGAAUUCCAGGUGUAGCGGUGAAAUGCGUAGAUAUCUGGAGGAAUACCGGUGGCGAAGGCGGCAUCCUGGACCGGCAUUGACGCUGAUGAGCGAAAGCUAGGGGAGCAAACGGGG